GACGUAGGCAGCGAGCGUUGUUCGGAGUUACUGGGCGUAAAGGGUGUGUAGGCGGUUGUUUAAGUUUGGUGUGAAAUCUCCCGGCUCAACUGGGAGGGUGCGCCGAAUACUGAAUGACUUGGAGUGCGGGAGAGGAAAGUGGAAUUCCUGGUGUAGCGGUGAAAUGCGUAGAUAUCAGGAGGAACACCGGUGGUGUAGACGGCUUUCUGGACCGUAACUGACGCUGAGACACGAAAGCGUGGGUAGCAAACAGG
rnacentral:rRNA from 1 species